AGAAGCGAUCUUUUUCCACUCUCUUCGUUUUUCAGCUGAGUUCUGCGUUCUAUUGUUGACAGAGAGUGAGAGAGAGGGAGAGGGUUGGUAACAGUGGGGGUUUCGGAUUCUCGGUUUCGAUUGAGCUGGCAAUCUUUUCAUCAAAUCAGACGAUCCGAUUGAGCAAUCAUAUAUCUUUGAGACUUUGAGCUUCAAAUACAUCAGGAGAAGUCCAUCGCAAUAUGACAGAUUGGAAGGUGCAUGCAUGUGAAGGUAUGUGGGUAUGUGGGUUUAUCUAGCUGUGUUUGGUUUGGCAUUUGAAUUUGGUUUUGUGGGUGAUUUAGCAUUUUUUUUAAUCUGGGUUUUGUGUGGGUUUGCAUUAGAGCUGUGUUAUGUGGAAUUAGAUAUGGGAAGUAGUUAGAUUUAGCAAAUCGUGUCAUGCAUCUGUUAGUAUAUAUCAUUUUUUGCUUUGUUGUUAUUUCUGCGAGCAAUUUUUCAUUUGGUGUCUUUAUGAACACUUCUUUUUUCUUCUUUUUUUCGUUCCAGGUGUAGCAUCUUUCUUAUUCAUACUGUAUUGGAUUAUUGUAUGGAGUUGAUUCUGUCUUAUUUCGAUGAGGUCAGGUGAAGAAGGUAGGUAACUCAGAGAAAAGGAAGAGGGGGACGGGAACAAUCGGUGUAUCAAUACGUAAUGGAAGAGAAAUCCUUUUAAAGGACGAUUGGAGAAGGUUAGAGGAGCCUUAUGGAAGUAUAUUCAUAACUAUUCCAACUGUUCUUGAUUCAUCAUUGGCUCCAGAAGGGCACCGUAUUCUUCAUAUUUACGACCUCUUCCAUUGAAGACUGGGAGGGACUUCUCUCGAAAGGACUAUGAAUCAAAGGAGCUUAUGGCAGAUGUCAUCAUUAGCAGAUUAGAGAAGAUACUAUUUCCAGGGCUUAAGUCAUCCAUCGUUUUUAAGGAGGGAGACCAGCAUUGAAUCAGCAACACCAUCGACCAAAACCAUCAACAAAGAAAAAAUGGACUGAAAUGUCAUGACACUUUUGGUGUAAAUAGAACUGGAGGAAGCAACUUUUUGGACAACCUCCACCACUGAUCAUCACUAGCUAACAACUUCUUAGCACACAUAUAUGCUAAUGGAGAUCAUCACUUAUUUUUGGCAAGCAGAUUAGGCAUUCAUUGUAAUUAAGUUAGCCUACAAGUAGAACAACUUAUUUUUGGCAAGCUGUUCCAACAGCAACUGUAACCUGUUUUUGAACACUAGAUUUUAGUAAAACAAGCUCUUAACGAGA